rnacentral:rRNA from 1 species
AGAGGGGGCAAGCGUUAUUCGGAAUUAUUGGGCGUAAAGGGCGCGUAGGCGGCUUUCAAGUGACGGGUGAAAUCCCUCGGCUUAACCGAGGAACUGCCUGUCAGACUGGAAGGCUUGAGACCGGGAGAGGUGAGUGGAAUUCCCAGUGUAGCGGUGAAAUGCGUAGAUAUUGGGAGGAACACCAGUGGCGAAGGCGGCUCACUGGACCGGAACUGACGCUGAGGCGCGAAAGCGUGGGGAGCAAACAGGAUUAGAUACCCUGGUAGUCCACGCCGUAAACGAUGAGUGCUUGGUGUAGCGGGUAUCGACCCCUGCUGUGCCGAAGUCAACACAUUAAGCACUCCGCCUGGGGAGUACGGUCGCAAGACUGA